GCCCAGUGCGGCCGUGCGAGCCCUGCACCCUCUCCCCGUGACCUUGCCCUAAGCAUCUCUUCCACCCGGCUGUUCCGGAAUUCUCUCCCUUUACAGCAAAAACAGUCAUCCGGAGCUAUACACUGAAUAAUUUACGAAAGAUCUUCACAGCUCGGCUUUAAAGGAAAAGACCAGCCCCAAGCACCGCGCACAAGGUCCGCGCGUGAGCAAAUCCCUCUUUCCGAGACUUACUUCGCGCGGCUGGAGAGUCAAAUUGGGCGCGGGGAGACGGAAAUACGUAAGGCGUAUUCCGGUGACCGCGUAGACAUCGAAGGCAGCCGAAUGGAGGAGGUGCCUCAGGGCUGUCCCGGGACCGGCAGCGCCCAGGCGGGCCGAGGGGCCUCAUGUCAGGGCUGCCCCAAUCAGCGGCUCUGCGCUUCCGGAGCCGGCGCCGCUCCCGAUCCAGCCAUAGAAGAAAUCAAAGAAAAAAUGAAGACCGUGAAACACAAAAUCUUGGUAUUAUCUGGGAAAGGUGGCGUUGGAAAAAGCACAUUCAGUGCCCACCUUGCCCAUGGCCUAGCAGAGGAUGAAAACACACAGGUCGCUCUUCUGGACAUUGACAUAUGUGGGCCGUCAAUUCCCAAGAUAAUGGGCUUGGAAGGAGAACAGGUUCACCAGAGUGGCUCGGGCUGGUCUCCAGUGUUCGUGGAAGACAACCUGGGGGUGAUGUCAGUCGGUUUCCUGCUCAGCAGUCCUGACGACGCCGUCAUCUGGAGGGGACCAAAGAAAAAUGGCAUGAUCAAGCAGUUCCUCCGUGACGUGGACUGGGGAGAGGUGGACUACCUCAUCGUGGACACCCCGCCCGGCACGUCAGACGAACACCUGUCGGCCGUGCAGUACCUGUCGGCAGCGCGCCUCGACGGGGCCGUGAUCAUCACCACACCUCAGGAGGUGUCCCUCCAGGAUGUCCGGAAAGAGAUCAACUUCUGCCACAAGGUGAAGGUGCCCAUCAUCGGAGUGGUGGAGAACAUGAGCGUCUUCGUCUGCCCCAAGUGCAAGAAAGAAUCUCAGAUAUUCCCCCCAACAACGGGGGGUGCGGAGGUCAUGUGCCAGGAUCUGAAGAUCCCACUCCUGGGGAAAGUGCCUCUGGACCCACACAUAGGUAAGAGUUGCGACAAAGGACAGUCUUUCCUGAUGGACGCACCAGCUUCUGCAGCCGCUCUAGCCUAUAGAAGUAUCAUUCAAAGGAUCCAGGAGUUCUGUGGUCACCAUCAGCCCAAAGAAGAGCACCUCAUUGGUUCCUGAGACACGAGCUGCACGUGGAGCGCAGCCUGAGCAGCCCGGGGACAGAGCGGGGGUCUUGGGCAGAAAAGGACCAGACUCUGAUGCUGAGCUCUCCUGGCAGGCUGGCUGUAAGCCAGCCUGGGACCCGUACCCGGCCCUGAAGAGUCAGACAUGACCCGUACGCCCCCCGCAUCUGGAAUGUUCCCGAAGAUCACACCCUUAGGGUUCUCGCAUACUUUUUUAAAAAAUAAAUGUUUGCUCCUUUUAUUGUU